AUUGAACGCUGGCGGCAGGCCUAACACAUGCAAGUCGAGCGGAGCGGCGGAAGGGUGAGUAAUGCCUAGGAAUCUGCCUGGUAGUGGGGGAUAACGUCCGGAAACGGGCGCUAAUACCGCAUACUAUCAGAUGAGACUAGGUCGGAUUAGCUAGUUGGGGGGGUAAAGGCUUACCAAGGCGACGAUCCGUAACUGGUCUGAGAGGAUGAUCAGUAAAACUGUAACUGAGACACGGUCCAGACUUCUACGUGAGGCAGCAGUGGGGAAUAUUGGACAAUGGGCGAAAGCCUGAUCCCGCCAUGCCGAGUGUGUGAAGAAGGUCUUCGGAUUGUAAAGCCCAUGAAGUUGGGAGGCGUUACCAACAGAAUAAGCACCGACUAACUUCGUGACAGCAGCCGCGGUAAUAC
rnacentral:rRNA from 1 species